rnacentral:rRNA from 1 species
AGCUCCAAUAGCGUAUAUUAAAGUUGUUGCGGUUAAAAAGCUCGUAGUUGGAUUUCUGUCGGUGAGUUGCAGUCCGGCCUCUGUGUUAGGUACUUGUUACGCCACCGGCAUCUUCCUGGGGACUGUAUCUGCUCUUCACUGAGUGGUGCAUAAUCCAGGACUUUUACUUUGAGGAAAUAGGAGUGUUUCAAGCAGGCAUGCGCCGUGAACACGUUAGCAUGGAAUAAUAGCAUCGGACCUCGCUCCAAAGCUGUUGGUUUCUUGGAACGAGGUAAAGGUGAAUAGGGAUUGUUGGGGGCAUUCGUAUUUAACUGUCAGAGGUGAAAUUCUUGGAUUUGUUGAAGACGGACUACUGCGAAAGCAUCUGCCAAAGAUGUUCUCA